UGGGGCGUCGACAAAUGGUAAGUCACGGGACUUUGGCUCCCGCAUUUGUAGGUUCGAAUCCUACCGCCCCAGCCA
rnacentral:tRNA from 2 species